CAGCAGCCGCGGUAAAACGUAGGUGGCAAGCGUUGUCCGGAAUUAUUGGGCGUAAAGGGCUCGCAGGCGGUUUCUUAAGUCUGAUGUGAAAGCCCCCGGCUCAACCGGGGAGGGUCAUUGGAAACUGGGAAACUUGAGUGCAGAAGAGGAGAGUGGAAUUCCACGUGUAGCGGUGAAAUGCGUAGAGAUGUGGAGGAACACCAGUGGCGAAGGCGACCCUCUGGUCUGUAACUGACGCUGAGGAGCGAAAGCGUGGGGAGCGAACAGGAUUAGAUACCCCUGUAGUCCCUGUCUCUUAUAC
rnacentral:rRNA from 1 species